rnacentral:rRNA from 1 species
GUUGGUGGAUUGAUUUGUCUGGUUGAUUCCGACAACGAACGAGACCUUCGCCUGUUUAAUAGAAGCUCAAUCCACGGAUUGGGUGUUCUUCUUAACGGGACUUUGCGCGUCUAGCGUAAUGAAGCGAAGGCAAUAACAGG